rnacentral:misc_RNA from 1 species
GGAAGCAAUCUUUCUCAGAAUCCUCCUCAUUAUCUUUCCACUCCGUGUCUUUGGAAGGCCAGGAGCCCAGUGGAUUUUGUCAGGUGCAGCAAAUGCUCCUAUCUGAAAUGAGGAACAAUCAUGUUUCAGAGAAGGCAGCUGACACCAACAUGUAUUUAGAUCCAAUUCCUUCUGUUGCCAGGACUUCUCUGGUAGAGAGAGAGAGAGAGGAAGUUUGGAGUGUUGGAUUUGGGGAGGGGGGAAUGAGGGUAGUUUGUAAGGUUCUCAAAUCAUUACACCAUUAAGUCAGAACCUUAUUUGUCUAGACUUCCAAAAAUGUAAAUUGGUUUUAUGGUUAGACAAAUGAAUACACAAGUUAAAGGACCAUCAGAGAUGAUCUUAGAUCUUUUCUUUUUCAUUAUGCACAUAACCUGUUUAUGUGAUUUGAAGUUUUAUUCACGUGCAUCUUGAAAGCUUAGUGAAAAGGCUUGACCCAGGGAGAAGUUUGGUUAUACUGACUGCAGCUUGGAUCAUGCAUGAUGCAUUCAGAAAUCAGAAUACAUACAAGAGAAUGUUGGAUUGAAUAUGGACCUGAUUUCGCACUGUAAGGAUUAG